AGAUGGAAAGUCCAUUUGGGACUAGUAUUGAAGGUUGAUAGUCAAGUAUGUAAAGCAUACUCUAUACCAUAUCUUUGGCAUGAAAGUGAACAAUUGUUCUAUUAAGAAAGUUUCCAAAGUUAUUCAGUAACAUGUGAUCCAUAAUGAUUUUGUAUGAUGUCCUACGUUACCAAUGAACUUGUUUUCACCCUACAAGAUGUCAAGACAUUCCAAUACUUGUUUUCUAAAUCUUACAUGUUUAU
rnacentral:lncRNA from 1 species